AUUGAACGCUGGCGGCAGGCCUAACACAUGCAAGUCGAACGAGUGGCGGACGGGUGAGUAAUGUCUGGGAAACUGCCCGAUGGAGGGGGAUAACUACUGGAAACGGUAGCUAAUACCGCAUACCAUCGGAUGUGCCCAGAUGGGAUUAGCUGGUAGGUGGGGUAACGGCUCACCUAGGCGACGAUCCCUAGCAGGGCUGCGAGGAUGACCAGCAACACGGGAACUGGGACACGGUCCAGACUCCUACGGGAGGCAGCAGGGGGGAAGAUUGGACAAUGGGGGAAAGCCUGAGGAAGCCAGGCCGGGUGUAUGAAGAAGGCCUUCGGGUGGUAAAGUACUUUCAGCGAGGAGGCGGUACUCGCAGAAGAAGCACCGGCUAACUCCGUGCCAGCCGCCGCGGUAAUAC
rnacentral:rRNA from 1 species